ACGUUCGGGUAAUCGCUGCGAGGAGCUUCUAAAGCGAAUCGUUGAGGAAAGUCCAUGCUCGCACGAGCUGAGAUGCUCGUAGUGUUCGUGCCUAGUGAAUCCAUAAGCUAGGGCAGCUGAGUCUAGCAUUCAGUUGACGGCCGGGAAAAUACCUAAGUCCAGCUGGAUACGGUAUGAAUACCUAUAAAAGUGCCACAGUGACGUAGCCUUUCCGGAAACGGAAAGGGUGGAACGGGUAAACCCCACGAGCGAGAAACCCAAAUUAUGGUAGGGGCGCUUUCUCUGAGGAAUUGAACAAGGAGAAAGACAGAUUCAUUCUUGAAUCUGUAGAUAGAUGAUUACCACCUAAGUACGAGACUUAAUAGUCGUUUGCAGUACUCUGGUACAGAACAUGGCUUACAGAA
rnacentral:RNase_P_RNA from 1 species